GGACGGAAGGUAGGUAAUGACCCCUAUUCAUUCAUAUACAGUAGGUAUGGACCUGCCUAUUCAUUCAUAUACAGUAGGUAAUGACCUGCCUAUUCAUUCAUAUA
rnacentral:lncRNA from 1 species